rnacentral:rRNA from 1 species
UCGAGAAUCAUUCGCAAUGGGCGAAAGCCUGACGAUGCGACGCCGUGUGAGCGAUGAAGGCCUUCGGGUUGUAAAGCUCUUUCGCUUGGGAACAAGAGAAGCCGGCUAAUAACCGGCGGAUUUGAGGGUACCAGGUAAAGAAGCACCGGCUAACUCCGUGCCAGCAGCUGCGGUAAUACGGAGGGUGCAAGCAUUAAUCGGAUUUAUUGGGCGUAAAGGGCGCGUAGGCGGGAAGAAAAGUCAGAUGUGAAAUCCUGGGGCUCAACCUCAGAACUGCAUUUGAAACUGACUUUCUAGAGGGUAGGCGGAGAAAACGGAAUUCCACAAGUAGCGGUGAAAUGCGUAGAUAUGUGGAAGAACACCGGUGGCGAAGGCGGUUUUCUAGCUUAUACCUGACGCUGAGGCGCGAAAGCAAGGGGAUCAAACA